UGGGGAAUAUUAGACAAUGGGCGAAAGCCUGAUCCAGCAAUGCCGCGUGAGUGAUGAAGGCCCUAGGGUUGUAAAGCUCUUUUACCCGGGAUGAUAAUGACAGUACCGGGAGAAUAAGCCCCGGCUAACUCCGUGCCAGCAGCCGCGGUAAUACGGAGGGGGCUAGCGUUGUUCGGAAUCACUGGGCGUAAAGCGCACGUAGGCGGCUUUGCAAGUCAGAGGUGAAAGCCCGGGGCUCAACCCCGGAAUAGCCUUUGAGACUGCAUCGCUUGAACGUCGGAGAGGUGAGUGGAAUUCCGAGUGUAGAGGUGAAAUUCGUAGAUAUUCGGAAGAACACCAGUGGCGAAGGCGGCUCACUGGACGACUGUUGACGCUGAGGUGCGAAAGCGUGGGGAGCAAAC
rnacentral:rRNA from 1 species